rnacentral:misc_RNA from 1 species
UACGAGGGGCCCGAGCGUUAAUCGGAAUCACUGGGCUUAAAGGGUGCGUAGGCGGAUGCGCAAGCGUCCUGUGAAAUCCCUCGGCUCAACCGAGGAAUUGCAGGGCGAACUGCGUGUCUUGAGACAGGUAUGGGCCGUCGGAACGUUCGGUGGAGCGGUGAAAUGCAUAGAUAUCGAACGGAACGCCGAAGGAGAAGUCGGGCGGCUGGGCCUGUUCUGACGCUGAGGCACGAAAGCGUGGGGAGCGAACAGG